GUAGCUAAGUUUGUGUGAGAAGGAGAGUGUGAAUGGGUUUGGCCGAUUAGGGUUAGGGAUUCAAGCUGACCUUUUUGAACACUCCAACGGGCCCUUCUUCGCCGAUCUCAGGCCGCCGGCGAUGCUGUCAACGCAUACGUAGCUCUCCUCCGCUUCAUCGUUAUUCCUAUGUUGUUCCAGAUUGUAAAAGCUGGUGAUCAUUUGUAGUUCAUUUGAAAUAGAAGCUGCAGGACCACUCAGAUUUGGAAACUCAUUGCAUCUCUUCCAAGGGACUUAUUAAAAGGUGUCCAAGUUUUGCCCGAUUAAUUCUGGAGGUAGACGACCUUCUCCCUAGUUGGCCUACCAGAUAAGAUCGGAGUAGUAUGUCACCUAGGAGGCCAUCACUGGACACUAUAUUCGGCAAAUUCUUUUCGGCUUUGCCCUAUUGAUUCACUGUCUAUCAUCAGGCAACUCCAUAUUGAAUGGUGCAACGAAAUCAAAUGGAGGGAAAUCCGAUGUGAACAUGAUUUCCUUAGGCAUCACUCUGUUGCUUAUAAAUUUGUGCUAUGGACUAUCCCUAUCACUUACCUAGUCCACCUGAUACUCAAUUGACGAUUUGUAGCAUCGUCGGCUUUUAGUUAUACAGCAGAGAUCAUGCUUUCUCUUGCGGCAGUUCUCAAAAUGGUUUUUGCUUUGAAGUCACUGCCUCAACUCACCAAUAUAAUAGUUGCUUGAUUCUGUCGCGAAACCUUUGUUUUUCCAAUGGUGUGUUUUGAUGAACAAAGUGUUCGAUGAGACGUCGGAUUUUGCCUAUAUUUGUUUUAUGAUUUUGGCACUAUUGCUUCAUGGAU